AAAGGUUAAAAUCAUUUAUUUGUAUAUUUCAUGUAAACAUAGACAUUAUAUCACAUAUUUUCAUAACAAUUUCAUCAUUUCUAUUUAUAGUAACAAUGAGACAAAAAGGACAUAAUUCACAACAUAAAUUAAGAGGGUUUAAUUAUGGAAGUUCACACAAAGCACUGCAAAGUAAACUUUGUUUUUUAGCUUGAUUCCUUUUUUAAUAUGAUAACACCUAUUUAGUAGAGUUAUUUCCCCUUACUUCCCAUGUUUUUCAAAUAUACAGAGCUCUUGAUGCCUAUACUACACACUUCAUUCAAAAUUAACCCAAAUUUUCUACACCACUGAAGUCAUUGCAGUGAUUUUUUUAUAUAGUUUCCUUUAAAUUUACUUUUAGUCUGCAAUAGAUAUUAAGAAAAAUCUUUAUUUUAGAUAUUAUUGACACUUAACAAUCAAGUUUUAGAGUAUGGUAUAUAUAUGUUUUUUUCAGUGUAAAAUGUAAAUCCCUUUUGAGAAGAUACCCAAUUUAUGGACAUAAUUUUUAAAAUGCACCAUAUUUGCUAAAAUCUUUAAAAACAUUCAGUGUUGGAUGGAAAAGCAUGUGGAUGGCAUUUGAAAAUAUCAUUAAAAGAAAAACUAUGUCUUGGUUAUAAAAUUUCAAAGUUUAAAUGGCAUUGAACAAUUUUUGAUUAAAUUAGUUUUUAAUUAAUUCUUGAAACAAAAGGCACUGAUCAUAUUGCGUACUUUUACAGAAAUUUGGAUUGUCUCAGUAUUUAUACAAACCUUUACCCUAAAACAAUACAGGAAAUAUUUCAAAGGAAUUGCACAUUUUUAAUGAUUAAAAUAGACUUAAAAUGCAUUGUAUGACAAAUAAAUGCUAAACAUAUCUAAACAUACUAACCCCUAAAAACACUUAAUAAGUACAAUUUUAAUUAGAAUUUGAUUUUCUGACAUAUUGAUUUAUAUCAAUUAAGCACCAUUUAUUUUGUCAAUUAUUCAAAACUGUGCGCAGUAUUGUUGAAUUAAGAAUAAUAUUACUUUAAAUUCAUAUAUGAAGUGGGUCUCAUUGGGGUCUAAGCGUGAUGCAGGAUUGCAGAUUUUUCGUAAGUGUGAAACGUAAAAGUCAAAUUAUUGUGUCGUUAAACAGGGAAAUGAAGUCUUGAGGGACCCAGGAAAUGACAAAAAAAUGAGAAUUGCUUAUGCACAAAGUGUAAGCGGGAUAUGGGAAUCUAACAAAACAGUAAGCGGGAUCAGGGAUCGGAACCCCCCCCAAUGAGACCCCCUAUGAAUACUGUAGAUUCAUUUAAUUGGAACAAACUGUGUGGAUUGAUUAAAACUUAUAAUUGUAACUCAUUGUACAUUUAAAUUUGUUGUUCACCUUGUUUACCCACAAAAUCCAUUAAUAUUGGUAUCCAAUGAAUGAUAAAGAAUCCAUAGAAUAAGGAUGUACAUCAAUUUAAAUCAGUUACUCUAUGACAAAACUUAUCAUCUAGGUGGCAUUAUACAGAUUUCUAUAAAACAUGCCAAGCUUCUAGUCGUCUGGUGUUAACAAAAAAUAAAGUUCUAUAAAAAUUCAACCGAGACAAACAAAGAUUAUUGAACUCAAGACUCAGAAUUCAACCAAUCAAAAUACUGGAUUUGGUGUUUCCAGCACAAAUUCUGGUACUCAGAUUACUGAGACAAGUUUAUGGUACUUGGACUCAAGAGUUCAACCAAUCAAAACACAGGAUUUGGUGUUUCCAGAACAAUUUCUUGUACUCGGAGCACUGAGUUAAGUUUAACAUCACAGGGUGUUGCCAAUUAUGAAAAUAACAAAAAAACAUUAUAACAUAUAAAACAUUUACUGACUUUGAACCGAAACAUUCAAAUGAGUAAAAACAUGUUUUAUGAGAUCUCAACCAUCCACUGUUGAUUUUGUUUUAAAACCUCUAUCAUUAUUAAAACAACCUUUACAUAAGCUUUUUAAUUAACUGUACAGGGAUAGUAAUUUUGUUAAACAAAUGUAAUUGUAUAAAGUAAUAGACGUUGUUCCAAGGGUGAAUUAUUUGUCUAAUUUAUACGAAAAAUAAUAAUAUUUUAUUGCAAAAAUACAAAUAUUAAGCAUAAUAGCUUCCUCUAUAUAAAAAUGCAGUUAUCAACAAGAUUAUAAAUAAUGACCUUUAUUUCUAGCUAAGGUCAAAUGAAAACUUUAAAACAGUCUCUCUCAUUGCUAAAACAACCUACUGCAAGUUCACAAAUUUUGCUAGCAUUUAUUUUUAUGAUUUAAAAAAAAAUCAUGGAUGUAAUGUUAAUUAGUACAGUUUCAGGAAAUGCUGCAUAAAAAUAAUUCUAUUAAAGUACGGCCAGAAUUUUCAUGAAACCUAUAGGGUCAAGAUCUUUCCCAAUAUAAAAUUAUUACAAAUUUCUGAAUUUAGAGACCUAAAAUGUUCUAUCAUAUAUAUACAGACUAGCCCUACUAAUGGAAAAGAAAUAUACAUUUGGUUUAUAAUCAAAGAUCUGUUGAGGUAAUAUUUGGCGUACUAAAUUACAAUCCUGGUACCUUUGAUUACUAUUUAGCCUUUGCUUGAAAUCUUCUGCAACACUCCUAGAUAUAAAUGAACGGGAAAAACAGAUAAAGUUCCCUGUUUCACCAGUCCGUGCACAACUGAAGAAUUUCAAAAUAUCCAUUUUUUUAACUAUAACAUUUCAGAGAUUUAGGGCUGAUUUCUUCAAAAUAAAAAUGAUAUGAUUAAUAGAAAAAAACUGUCCACCUUACACCACAUGAUUUAGAUUGAGGCAACUUUAUCAAAUACACACUUGACUGCAACAAAUAUAUACAUAUACAAUGGAACACUAAAAUAAGUGAGGUAAAUAUGACCCAGUUUUAUCGUAAUAGAAAUACUGUUGAUUCAUUCAGAUUCUUUCAGUACUCAUUUACGCAGAUUUGGAAGGUAUAUGUGAAGCUAAAAUUAAGCUGUGCAUGUGUAAAGCCACUAUCAGUGCUCCUAGUUAUAUCAUGGCAGCCACACUUUAUUGUUGGAGGUAGCAGAGAACACCAAACAUCAGAAUUUAAAGCAGGUAAAAAGGUAAUCUCUAAAGCAUUUUCUCUAGCCUAUAAAUAUUGUACCAAUUGAUAAUAAAUGAAUGCACAGUACAUAUGGUGCUGCCUGUGUUACAUGAUCAAGAUUAACAUUAAGGAUGUACUUAGGUGAGUUUAGGUAAAAAUUAAGAAAUUAAGAAAUUAAAAUUGAUAACUAUAAGCUGAAAAUAUUGAUAGGUCAUGGAUCUCCUUUUCGAGAUAUUUGAGAUUUAAAAUAUGGCGGGAAAAGGCUGACUUGGACUUUUACCUUAUAUUUGCAUUGGUAUCAUUUGGGUCUCAAAACAAAAGAAAGAAAAUCAAGAAUUUUCUAAAAUUUUGGUAAAUGACCUUUCAUGAGCUAUUAAGUUUUAUAUGAAAAAUAAAUGGGGUGUUAUGGACAAAAUAUUUUUACAUUGUAUUGUAUGGAAAACCACCAAGGAGUCCGAACAUUUGACACAAAUUCCAAAACCUCACCUAAGUACAUCCUUAAUGAAUGUAUUUGUUUCCUCUUUUCCAGGGAUAUCAUUUACUGUUGUUUUCUUUCUAAAAUGUCAUUUUUUAUUUAUUAAUUGUUAAUUGCUAAAUAUAAAGUAUCAGAUAUUUCAUGCUCAUUCAGGAAGAGACAGAAUAAGGAGAAAACAAUAGAUAGGCAAUGUAUAGAAAGUGAAGUUAUUUACCAAAGCAAAACAAAGAAUAAAUUUUAUUUAAUGUCUGGUUCAACAAUUAAUGAACUUUCUAAUUCACUGAAAAUUCCACCAAACCUUUGUAUUUAAAGACUGUUACCAAAUUUUUGAUUAAAGCAAAAAUAUCUAAGUAAAGCUGGUAAAAUAAAAGGUCUCAUUUCAGAAUAAAAUCAAAUUUCCAAAAAAGGUCUGAUUUUGGUUUAUUAUUAAAGAACUUAAAUAUCAAUAAAUUCCAGAAUCGUAAUUGCAGCUUUAUUACCAAUUGGUAGGUGGAAAUUAUAAAGCUGUUUGCUUUGUUAGCAGGGUAGUCACAUUUCUAAAAGGCAAUUUGAACCCCCAAAAAUGCCCCCCACUCUGUUCAAAAUUUCUGUUGAAAAUACAUACUUUUCUCUAUAUUCACUAAAAAAUGAAUCAUGUUAAAUUAUAUUAAAAUCACAAAAUCAUCUAAAAUUGCAAGUUUCAAUAUCGCAUUGUGUUUCACUCCUCAUGCAGAUGUUUUUGAUUCACUCAUCAUGCAGAUGUUUUUGAUUAACUAUUGGAAGGAUACAACAAACUGAAAGAUACAUGUUUUAAAUGAAACGGUAUAUAUAAAAUAUUACAAAAUGAAUUAUUUGACAUUUGGAAUAUUUUUCAAUACAUUAAAUAUACAAUUACCG
rnacentral:lncRNA from 1 species